rnacentral:rRNA from 1 species
GACGAACGCUGGCGGCGUGCUUAACACAUGCAAGUCGAACGGAUUGCUUGGUGCUUGCACUGAGUGGUUAGUGGCGAACGGGUGAGUAACACGUGAGUAACCCGCCCCCUUCUUUGGGAUAAGCACCUGAAAGGGUGUCUAAUACUGAUUAUUCUGCUGGAAUCGCAUGGUUUUGGUUGGAAAGGUUUUUUCUGGUGGGGGAUGGGCUCGCGGCUUAUCAGCUUGUUGGUGGGGUAAUGGCUUACCAAGGCUUUGACGGGUAACCGGCCUGAGAGGGUGACUGGUCACAUUGGGACUGAGAUACGGCCCGGACUCCUACGGGAGGCAGCAGUGGGGAAUAUUGCACAAUGGACGAAAGUCUGAUGCAGCGACGCCGCGUGAGGGAUGAAGGCCUUCGGGUUGUAAACCUUUUUCGCUUUUGACCAAGGCAGCAUUUUGGUGUUGUUGAGGGUAUGAGGUAAAGAAGCUCCGGCUAACUACGUGCCAGCCGCCGCCGUAA